CCUACGGGUUGCAGCAGUGGGGAAUAUUGGACAAUGGCGCAAGCCUGAUCCAGCCAUGCCGCGUGAGUGAAGAAGGCCUUAGGGUUGUAAAGCUCUUUCACCGGUGAAGAUAAUGACGGUAACCGGAGAAGAAGCCCCGGCUAACUUCGUGCCAGCAGCCGCGGUAAUACGAAGGGGGCUAGCGUUGUUCGGAAUUACUGGGCGUAAAGCGCGCGUAGGCGGAUAGAUAAGUCAGAGGUGAAAUCCCGGGGCUCAACCCCGGAAUUGCCUUUGAUACUGUUUAUCUUGAGUGCAGAAGAGGUAAGUGGAAUUCCGAGUGUAGGGGUGAAAUUCGUAGAUAUUCGGAGGAACACCAGUGGCGAAGGCGGCUUACUGGUCUGCAACUGACGCUCAGGUGCGGAAGCGUGGGGAGCAAACAGGAUUAGAUACCCUCGUAGUC
rnacentral:rRNA from 1 species